rnacentral:rRNA from 1 species
AACGAACGCUGGCGGCAUGCCUAACACAUGCAAGUCGAACGAGACCUUCGUGUCUAGUGGCGCACGUGUGCGUAACGCGUGGGAACCUGCCCUUAGGUUGGCAAUACUUCCCUUAAGGGGAGCUUAAAACAGCUGAAGCUCUUGGAGCAAAGGAUUUCCCGCUUUUGGAUGGGCCCGGGUAAGUUUCGCUGGUUGGUAGGGGAAAAGCCAACCAUGGGCCCGUUCCUGGGCUGGUCGGAUAGGAUGCUCAGCCACACUGGCACUGAGACACGGCCCAGACUCCUACGGGAGGGAGCAGUGGGGAAUAUUGGACAAGGGGCGAAAGCCUGAUCCAGCAAUGCCGCGGGAGUGAUGAAGGCCUUAGGGUUGUAAAGCUCUUUUACCCGGGAUGAUAAUGACAGUACCGGGAGAAUAAGCUCCGGCUAACUCCGUG